GAUGAAGAACGCAGCGAAAUGCGAUACUUGGUGUGAAUUGCAGAAUCCCGUGAACCAUCGAGUCUUUGAACGCAAGUUGUGCCCGAAGCCACUAGGCCGAGGGCACGCCUGCCUGGGUGUCACACGUCGUUGCCCCCCCCCAUCUACUCCUUCGGGAUUGCGGGGGGCGGAUGAUGGCCUCCCGUGCGCCUAGCCGCGCGGUUGGCAUAAAUACCAAGUCCUCGGCGACGCACGCCACGACAAUCGGUGGUUGCGAAACCUCGGUUGCCCGUCGUGUGCGUUCGUCGCGCAUCGAGGGCUCGAAAAAAUGCUCGGCUCCGGCUCGGCUUUCAACGCGACCCCAGGUCAGGCGGGGUUACCCGCUGAAUUUAAGCAUAUCAAUAAGCGGAGGA
rnacentral:misc_RNA from 1 species